CUAGUCACUGUUGAAUUUUCAAUGGGAAAACUGAAGAGUUCAAGGAAGAGCAGAAAUACUAGAAACAUCAGUGACCUGUAAUAAAGGAAGAGGUGUGACCCAUCAGCUGACCCUGGCUCCCAAACCAACAAGGAUAAGCAAGAGCCUCUCUCACUGAACAGAAAGCCGGCUUUGCUCCGCGACAGACCAGGAUAGCCAAGAUGCUGAACAAGCCACCACUGGAAGAAUUUUAUUUAAAAUUUUGGUAGAUUCUCUAUCAGCAACUUAAAAACCAAAAAGGGUGAAGAUCUUUCUACCACGUGUCUUUUACUACAGAGAUACAGCAGGUCAGGACAAUGCAUACCUCAGGGCUGGGUUUCCUUCCUUGACUACUUGGGUAUAAUACCAAAAUACAAGAUUAACUGUUAUUUGUGGCCAUGACUCUGUGGUAAGAACUGAUGCUCAAAAGCCACAUUAGGUUCUUUUAUUUAUGUCUCUGUGGCAGCUCAUCUGAGGAAACCUGUUUGGAUGUAUUUUUUAAGCUAUUUUAGGAUCCAAGAUUUUGUUUCUAGAUAAUAGACAAAGGAAAAUGCCUUUUUGUUGGGUGAUGAACAUUUCCCUCUCGUGGGAAAAUAAGCUUUCCUUUCCUGUGCCUGUCCCUGUUAUGAAAUAGAGAAGGUACCAGCCGAAGACUGUGCUGAAGUGAAAUUCAGUGUGAGACCACUCCCAUCACUAUAAAGCAUUCAAGAUAGCUCAAGCCCAUCUAUUGCAAUGGAGCCCGAGUGAAAGAUGAGUUCACAGACUUUUAUAUUCACUCCAGCAAUCUGAGUUUUUCAUUUCUGUCCUCUGCGUGCAAAUUGAGCAGCAAGCAAAAUAAAAACUAAUUAAAUCAUGUGAUUAUAUAUUGUUUAUCCUUAGAGAAUAGAUUAUAAAAAAUGAAAAUAAAUUAUGUGAAGAUGCAGUCUGAAUAAUAAUAAAGUAGUAUAGUUUUUGGCUGCCAGUAGCCAGCUACCAGCUGAGUCAAGAUGCACCCUCAUCUCCUGCUUGCUGCCUUUGAACAGCAGUUAUGGAUUAAGUCUGACAGUGUGAAAAUAAAUGGGAGAGUGUAACUGAAGCCAAGCAUUUAUCAAGCCUGGUUGUAUUCUAUGCAAGGCAAGGCUGAUACAAUUUAAUAAGAUAACAGAAAACUUGACGCUGUCUUCAGGAUGUCAAAACAUGGAUUUAUGCCCUGUGCCAAUGCUACUACUGUUAACUUGAUGAAUUUUAAGCUAUUGCAGGUUUUGGGUUUAGCAUCCAUAAGUCAGUGGUGCAAUAGGAACAGUUUUCAGAUACUGAAUUCAGAACUGACUGCCUGUGUGUCUGUAUGGCACUAGUGUUCAAAUGGUAAGUUACCAUAAAAUGGAGGGAAGAACUGGAGUAAGCAUUGGGAUAACAGGUCUUCUGUCUCAUUAUAUGUUAUACUGCACUUUUCAUUCUCCAAAUGCUUCGUUGCAAGAAGUUUAGGAACUAAACCUGUGUAUGCAGGAAGAGAGAGACCAACAGUAAACUAACAGAACAUUUGCUCUUUUUUGUUGACCUUUUGAAAUUGGAGACAUCUGCCAUAUACCCUCGUUUCUCAGUUUCUCAUUAACUUUGAACUGAGCAAACCUGGGGUGCCUUAAUCAACAGUAAGAUUAUUUUUCUAUCCCUCCUGCCUUGUGAGUUUGGUGAGUUUUUGUUGAGGAACCUGGUAAACCUUCCCAGCAAAGUACAUAUGGGCCUGGCUGCUGCCAGGAGCAUUUCUCUCCAAUGAGAGAAAACUAAACAAUUGCAGGUGGGUUUUUGUCCCUUCUGUGUAAUAAAUACUAUCAAGAUAUCAAGUCAUGAGUUAAGGUAACCUUUUGGACUACAUAGAGAGAAUCCCCACAGUCCCUCAAUGGCUAUUUAUCAUUCUUUUCAAGAGUGAUUUUGACCCAAAUGGAUUGUUUUCUUGUGCUACUCUAUCUUUAUGCCCUAGUCCAUCUUUAGCAUACGCUACGGCACUAUCUGUUCUUGAGAGUGCAAGGACUUUGAUAAAUGUACUCAGUCAUCACUGCUUUUUCAUACUAGGUAUCUAUUGAUUCUUAUAAUAUCAACUUUCAUGACUUGCAUCAUUUGUUAAAAUUUCUCCAUUUAGUUUUAAAGGCCGUCUACAUUGAUACACAAGCAAUUGAGGUUUUUCUCACUAGUUUCUUUCAGCAUUCUUUACAGCUGCUUUUAUCGAUUGUAUCUGCCUCAGUUCAGGAAGGACAUGCCCCAGUUACUCCGGCUGUUCACUGAAGUACCACAGGACUGGGUCCAAAGCUUCUCCAGGGUCAGGCCUCUUCACUGAGCAGAGGGAAAUGGAGUAAGUAGGUGAUAUUCCUGAGCCCAAUUUUCAGAUACCCCGUGGAAUAGGAGGCUAUGUUUAAUAUAGAGAAGUCAGUAAGUACUUUUUGUCAGAGAGGAAAGGAAUGGCUUUGCCUUGAUCUAUUUCAGAGAUGAUCAAAGAACAGAUUAAAAGGCCUGAAAGCUCUGUUCAGCCAUCAUUCAUCUGUGUGCUGGAUAACAGCGCUGCCACUCUCAAAGAGGUAGAUGGGGAGCUCAACUCAGAGCGGCUUUUUUCCACUGUGAUAAUACCGUUCCCCCCACCCUUCACACGUUUUCAUAACUCCAUGCAUAAAAGCUAAUUGAAUUUAUCUGUAAAUGAAAUAGGUGUCAACUAAUAGGUGUAUAACUUCCAUCAAAUAUAAGAACUGCUUUCUUGAUGGGGUGAAGGCUCUUCUUCACACGUACACUGGGAUGGACAUAAGAGGGAUAAGGAACAAGGAAGAUUCUCAGUGAAAUAAAAUGGAUGCAGUGUUGCUGCAUAGCUUGUCCUGCAGCCAAACAAAAGCAGUUCAAGUCUUAAGCAGCAAAGAGCAGCCUACUGUUGGAAGCCCAUCGGAGAAAUUAUUUGGAAGCCAGCAUUACAAAGAGUAACAUUCAGUCCUACCUUUAUCAUGUUCAAGAAUAGGACAGUUGAGCAGCUAUUCUUCAUGCAGGCACCGCACCUUCCGUUUAGGUCAUCUGUUCUUUGGUUGACUUAUUGGCUUAAAGUCCUGCUAGCCCCUGAUUAAAAUUACUAGAACAUGAUCUUCCAGUACUAGUUCAUAUAAUAAAUUGCCCAUAAUAAAAUGGUGUUUUUUACCACCAACUAUUGUGCCGAUUGCUUCUCUGGACUUUGAUGCAUAAGGCAUGAGGCUAUUGCUAAGAUCUAUUUUAAUCAAAGGAAAUGAAAAUUUUACUAUUGUUAAAUGCAUUUUUUUAUUAAUUUACAGAAAUAUUCCUAAUUAUUAAGAAGUUAGGUCAGGUCUUCCACUUUAUUACUGAAGUACCAAUGCCUGUUGCUGACAACCCUCUUUUCUUUGUUACAUUUAUGCAGGUCCCAGAUGCAUUUAUCGUUUCAUCAAAAAAUUGGUUUUCCAAAACAAGUUAAAAAAGGGAACGUCACAGAUACUAAUUCAGUUGCGUUGCAGUGAGAGAAAGACAAUAAAAACUAAUGAGAUUUACAAUAGAAACUUUUUCAUAAGUUCAGCACUGUCUCCCUGUGCAUUUAUUAUCCUGUGGUUGGAAAAGCACUUCUCCAAAGCAGAGUUUUCACUUUUGGUGAAGAAACUUUUCCAAAAGAAAUCUGUAAAAGCCGUGAGGAGACCAAAGCUGACAAAGGGUGAGGGCAGUAAGUGGUGAAUAGCGGCAAUGCAUUUCUCCAGAAGAGAAGUGAAGUGCAGACAAACCAAGAGGCUCAUCUUACUCAGUGCAGUGCAAUACUUUGGCAGUAAAGAACAAGCUGAAUGAGGUCUUUUUUCCCUGAAUGGCACCAAUUAUAGUAGGAUAAAAACCGAAAUACAUUCUAUUAACAGCAUUUUCUUUUCUCUUUGUAACCAUAUUAAAGGAGCCAAAUCCUUCUAAUUUGGCUUGGGCUAAUCUUUAUGUACUUCAUUUUAGUUUAAAGGAACCCCAAGUUUGGUUCACUGGGAUCAUAGGCUAAACACAAAGCUGAAUAUAGACAGUCCACAGUUUUGAAGAAAAAUUACUUAACUAUAUGUUGUUCUCUCUCAAAUUUUUAAAAGCAUAUUUCUUUAUUGUGUGAGAGUACUAUCUAUCCUGCCUGAAGUUCUUUUUUCUUUCUACACAAGAUCUCUUCAUAAAAAAUCAAUAUAGUCAAAGUUAUACCUCUCCUGGUAAAACUAUGACAAAAGCUUUUGACAGGAAACAGGUAAGUUAAGAAACAGGAAGGCUCGGGGAGAAGUAGGAGUUGGUGGGGCUCCAGUGACGAUGUCAUGGAGCAGGUUCACUUGUUAACUGGUUAAAAUACUCUGUAUUUUCAGGUCACAGAUCAGAAACCUGUAACCACCUUAGAGAACCAAGACAGGUCUUAGAAGAAACAAAGAAUUCGAUGAAGGAUGUUGUAAUGACAACGUAGUCCUGUGUGCUGUAUCCAAGCCAGUGAAGGAAUGAAUGCAGUCUGAUGCGUAAUUCAGGGUAACAGUCAACAUUACAGAAGUUGAAUGACAAAUUGGAACUGCACAGGAUGGAACAGUAGCCAACACUGAACAUUGUGAAGGGAUCAAAUAUUGUAUGAGAUAAUUAUCUGAACAGUUUUCAGGAAUCCAUGCAAAUGAAGAUAGGUAACCUUCCUUCUCAUGAUUAGCGAUUUCAAAGCGAUGUUCUGUCUGUUUGGGGUUUUUUCCUGCUCUGAAUGCAAACCCAACAACCACAUUGUGCACAGUUCAGAUAAUUUUACUUCACAUUGACUUUUAAUGGGAUUUUAGUCCCAGGAACCAGAUUAAAGCUGGUGCUCUACCACAUGAAGCAAAGCACAGUAAGUGGGGAAACCUAAGUUCAUACAUAUAUGUUUCUUAAGAUUGAAGUACCUAAAUUAAUAAACAUCUUUAGAUAAAGGAAACCAAGUAAUGAUGAUAUUGAGAUCCUGAGCUACAGAGAAUCACUGAAUUCCACGGUUAGUCUGUAUUUGAAAAGGUUAUCUUCUGUUUAUUCCUUUACAAAGCUGUCUGAAUAAUCCGGUUUUAAAGGUAGCAUUCUAAAUUACAGUACCAAUUUUAUAUUUAUUUAAAAUUAUUUCAAAAUAGAUUUAAACUGUAAUUGCUUGGUCUUGCUUUUGAAUGUCUUAAUAAGAGUAUUAUUAUUUGUUUGUACUACAGCAUACAGGGGGCGGGGAAUCUAUUGUGCUAGUCACCGCAAUAACCAGGAAGAAAAAAACAUCCAAGGUUGCAUACUGAAUACAAACCAGUUCUUGGUAUGUGCAGAAUUCCAAGGAAUACCUUAUUUCCUAGAAUGGGUACACUCUGUACACCCACAGUCUUACUUUUGCUGAUUUUGUUGUGGUAACAAAAGUCUCCUAAAGUGGGACUCACAGGAAAAUAACAAAAGAUGCACCUGUUUGGGGCUUGUUCGUUUGGAGGAGAUAAAAUCCCUUUGUGUGUUUUUCAGCCAAGUGGAAGCUAUGAAGAGGGAGCAAGCAGCACAUAAACAAAAGAAUUAGCUUAAAGAAAAAAACCCCACCCAAACAUAGGAUUGCAGACUCACCAUUUUUUCGCCGAGAGGAUCAUAAAUUAUUGAAAGUUUCUUCAUCUUCAGAAUGCCCAGAUGAACGUGCUGAAAUAUUCAGAGGCUAGAACCCAAGACAAUAUACAGACAGCAACCUGUACACAACAUGGAAAAAAUAACAAGCAGCCGGUGCUCUAACAGCAAAAUCAACAUUCUUGUUAGUCUGAUGACUAUUAUGAGCAAGCCAAAAUCCAGCAGUACCCCAUCAGAAAAAGAGUCCGUUAUUUCUCAAAUAUCAAUGACACAGGGUGAGGGGGUGUCAGGGGGUGGUGUGUACCUCUUGAACCUAAAAAGAAAGAAAUAUUCAAGUGGAAGCUCUUCAGCUUUUUUCCUUUCUUUAGUAGGCUUUUCAGCAUACAUUAGUUAUUUGAAUUCAGGUGCCUGUCCAAAGAUGGGCUGCAAAUACAUUAAUCCAGCAGGACAUGGAAAAUUAAUCUUGGUCAUAAAUCAGUAUUGUCACUAUAGUCCAGAUAGUCAAGAUAUGGGUAUGCAGCUCAGCUCGCUGUGCACACGAAUGACAAUGUAUCACAGCAUUUUGUGUUUGCAUGUUUCCAAGUUGAGUUGUGUGUCACACCUUUCUGCAUGGUUACGUGAAAUGGGUUUAGAGGUACCCGUGCAUUCAGGUGGAGAGGAAGUCACCAGAAUGUAGCUGAGGAGUAAGUACUAGUUGAGAGACAGUAGAGGCCUUCCAAGGUCUGAUAACCUCUGGAGACUAAUGAGUCUGGCUGAACUUGCAAAAAUGGCUAAAACGUCAGAAGUCUGCUGAAUUUGUCCAAAGCCACCAGUACACACUAGCAUCAAUAACUGGCCCUAUCACAUGGACCACAUCCAAGAUGGUGGUGGCUGCUGUAUUCACACAAAGAUGCCAAUAUCAUAUAUACACACCUGAGCACCUUCUGCACUCGCCAGCAGCCGUUGGUGUCACCGUGACUCCCAGCUUUGCUCCAGCUAUCUAAGCCUGACUUACCUCAUGGGAGCGUCUACAAGUGAACUGUUUGGGGAGUAACCAGAUGUAUAGUUACCUGUAAUUAAUAAAAAGGCUUAAUUCUACUAAUAA